rnacentral:rRNA from 1 species
GUGUCAGCCGCCGCGGUAAAACGUAGGAGGCAAGCGUUAUCCGGAUUUACUGGGCGUAAAGCGUGUGCAGGCGGUUUGGAAAGUUGGAUGUGAAAGCUCCCGGCUCAACUGGGAGAGGUCGUUCAAAACUUCCAGACUUGAGGAUGGUAGAGGGAGGUGGAAUUCCGGGUGUAGUGGUGAAAUGCGUAGAUAUCCGGAGGAACACCAGUGGCGAAAGCGGCCUCCUGGACCAUUUCUGACGCUCAGACACGAAAGCUAGGGGAGCAAACGGGAUUAGAUACCCGGGUAGUCC